AAGUGUGAGGGCAAUCUGGCUGUGACAUCUGUCACCCCGUUGAUCAACCAGCGUUGAUUCAGCUGAUGUGGCUGGUUUGGCAGGUGUCCCAUUCCUCCUCACUGUUCCAUGGUCAUCCCUCCUGAAGCCGUGCACUGGUUGAAGGGGACGAUAGAGGAGGACCGUUCUUUGGUCAAGGGUAUAGGAGUAGCUGUGCUCCCUUGCUAGAACCUCCAAACGAGCUCUGUAAUGGCUGCUUAGUUGAAGAUUAGACUGGCAAGUAGCAAUUUCUGCUACAUAAAAGAAUUAAGGAAUGUAAUUU
rnacentral:snRNA from 1 species